rfam:Erinaceus europaeus unplaced genomic scaffold scaffold00056, whole genome shotgun sequence
AGAUGUGAGGGCCAUCUGGCUGUGACAUCUGUCACCCCACUGAUCGCCAGGGUUGAUUCGACUGAUCUGGCUGGCUAGGCGGGUGUCCCCUUCCUCCCUCACCGCUCCAUGCGCGUCCCUCCUGAAGCUGAUGCUCCGUGGAAGAGGACGGCCUUCCCCUAAUAGAGAUAGACCCGGUCUUUGGUCAAGGGUAUAUGAGUAGCUGCGCUCCCCUGCUAGAACCUCCAAACAAGCUCUCAAGAGUAGGGCUUUUCAUAAUCUUCAGUUUGCUAUCUACAUGUUGUUCACUUUUCCUUCUCAAGUACUUACUUCAUGUUAUA